GGACUGUGUCUGGACUGUAAUGGGGCCAAGUAUCCUCAGAAGGCAGGAGCUCCCACUUAUCAAGGAUACCAGGUGAGGACUCAGUGGAGACACCAUCUGUGAACCAAGAAUCAAGCCUUCACCGGACGCCAACUCUGCUGGUACCUUCAUCUUGGAUUUCCAGCCUCGACCCUGUGGAGUUUGGUGACAGCGGCGUGAGAUGACAAGAAGCAUAUUUUACAUUUUCUGACCAGACACCACAUGGAACUCCACAAAAGCCCAUCUCCCCAUCCACAGGAGCCCAGAGACACCUGGGUGGUCCCCAGGCACCCAGUGGGAGAGACGACACUGCACAGAGACCCAGGGCCUGAGCGUUGACACUGGGCUCCAGGUACCAUUUCCUGGGCAGCACCUCAUCCUGAUAGCAAAGGACAAAAGGUUGUCGCUUGGGGGGAUUCCAGGCCAGCGUGUGCUCACUGCUGUCAGGAUACAGCCCUGUUGGAGGUUUAUCACUGAGCGGACAGAAUCGACUCUUAAUGACUUCAUGCCUCGUGCUAACUGUAUCGAUCGAGGGCAGCCUCUCAGUGUCGGCACGGCAGCUGCGCCUGGGCUCAAUUUUGCUUCUCCUGUGGCUGCAGGGGUUGGAAAGGUGUUCAGUUCUACUUUACUUCAUCAUGGCUGUGAUUCACAACUAGUUUGAAAAAUCGUCCCAAAUGUAACAGUGGGCUCCAGCAGGCACUGUGGUGCAUCCGGGAGCACAGGGUGGGUAGCUGGGCCGUGGGCCAAGCUGGGUUAUGGAAUGCCCUGGGUUGCCCCAUAAGAAACACAUUUCAGAAUGUCUGGACUCACUUGAACUUAGCAACUGUGUCAUGCAUGGUCAACUCACAGCCCCUGUUCACACAGGAACAUAUUGGCUAAAUGUGCUUUCCCAGAAAUGUUCUGGAUGGGUUUGGACAUCAGAAAAAUACUUAACUUAUCACUAUUGGUCUGGUUCAACUUCUAAUAAUUAAAGGGAAAUUCUGGCAAGUUAUAAAGAAGAAGGCCUAUCUUGGGGGUUCAGGGGCCCAGCAUGAAUUACUCAGUUCAUUUAGUAGAUAUUCAGCUAACAUCAGCCCCUCCCACAAGCUAUAAUCCUUCUGUACUGAAAGGGAGUCCUCAGUACUCGGACGACAGGGAGGAAUUUAAAGCUUUCUCCACACAACCCAAACCCAUCUGACUGGCACACUGCUUCAUAAUUUUAGGAUGUUCCUGGAGCCCACACACAGUUAUUUUAAGCUUCUGACUUCUCCUUCUUUGUAAACACGUGUCCUAGUCCACAGUUACCAGCUUGGCCAAUUACAGCAAACCACAGUUUGCCUGGACUCUUUGUUGGAAUUUAGUUGGUUCUGAAAUCUAAUCCAUUUGGAAUACACAGACAUUUGUCACCUUGUUUUUUUGUUAA